rnacentral:misc_RNA from 1 species
AACUUUUGGCAACGGAUCACUUGGCUCUGGCAUCGAUGAAGAACGCAGCGAAAUGCGAUAAGUAAUGUGAAUCGCAGAAUUCAGUGAAUCAUCGAAUCUUUGAACGCACAUUGCACCCUCUGGCACCCAGGGGGUAUGCCUGUCCGAGCGUCGUAACGACCCUCGAGCUCCCCGGAGCUCGGCGUUGGGUGCGGCCCCGAUCACCGGGGCCCUCCCCAAAACCAGUGGCGGCCGUGGCCCGGUCCCGAGCGCAGUAGACUUCUCUCGCUCAGGGGCCUGGGCGGCGUGCCGGCCAGCAAGACUUCAGCCACACCAAAGGUUGACCUCGGAUCAGGUAGGAGCACCCGCUGAACUUAAGCAUAUCAAUAAGCGGAGGCU